rfam:Picea glauca, whole genome shotgun sequence.
ACUAAGGAUUUCAUUAAAUCCACCCAAAAUGUCAGGAAUUAUUAUU